rnacentral:rRNA from 1 species
UACGAAGGGGGCUAGCGUUGCUCGGAAUCACUGGGCGUAAAGGGUGCGUAGGCGGGUCUUUUAAGUCAGGGGUGAAAUCCUGGAGCUCAACUCCAGAACUGCCUUUGAUACUGAGGAUCUUUGAGUCCGGGAGAGGUGAGUGGAACUGCGAGUGUAGAGGUGAAAUUCGUAGAUAUUCGCAAGAACACCAGUGGCGAAGGCGGCUCACUGGCCCGGUACUGACGCUGAGGCACGAAAGCGUGGGGAGCAAACAGG